CCUCUAUGGAAAUCAAUAAUAACACAUCCUGUCUGAACUCAUACAAUGACAAAGAAAAUCUAUUUUAUAUUAUUAGACUAUUAUAAGAAAAGUUUAAGUUUAAGGACAGAUAUUUAAUAGGCUCUGAAAAACAUAUAUUUGAAAUGUGAGACUGAAGGCUGAGGGUGUGUGUGUGUGUGUGUGUGUGUGUGUGUGUGGUCACUGUAGUGUAUCAGAGGUUUUUGUACGGCGACUUCAUUGAAAUGUAUCACUGUGGUGGACGUUCGGUGGAGGAACUAAAGUCAUUCUGAAAACCGGUCCCUCGGUGAAGCCCUCCGUGUCUCUGCUCCCCCCCUCCUCUCUGCAGUUGUCUGAGGGAUCUGCCUCGCUGCUCUGCCUGCUGUCUGGCUACUCUCCACAGGGGGCGCAGGUGAGCUGGACAGUGGACAAAUCAGAGGUGAAGGAGGGGGUUCUGACCAGCAUAGAAGAAGAGAAGAACGGCCGCUACAGCCGAAGCAGCACCUUGACCCUCAGCAAAGCACUCUGGGAAAAGGGGGAGGAGUUUGUCUGUACGGUCUCUCACGACAACGCGGACCAGCGAGCCUCGUUCCUAAAGAGCCACUGUGAAGGCUAGCAGCUCCAAGAUAGAGCUGACCAUAGAGCUGCUUUCACAUGCAGCUCCAAUAGAGUUUAAACUCUACACAGUGCUGAUAUUUCUGUCUGUACUCUGUUCAGUGUCCUGUUGCUGUAGCUGUGCUUUUGCUGAGCUGAAAUAAAGCUUCAUUCUGGA